AUUGAACGCUGGCGGCAGGCCUAACACAUGCAAGUCGAACGAGUGGCGGACGGGUGAGUAAUGUCUGGGAAACUGCCCGAUGGAGGGGGAUAACUACUGGAAACGGUAGCUAAUACCGCAUACCAUCGGAUGUGCCCAGAUGGGAUUAGCUUGUAGGUGAGGUAACGGCUCACCUAGGCGACGAUCCCUAGCUGGUCUGAGAGGAUGACCAGCCACACUGGAACUUGGACACGGUCCAGACUCCUCCGGGAGGCAGCAGUGGGGUAUAGUGCACAAGGGGAUCAAGCCUGAUGCAGCCAUGCCGCGUGUAUGAAGAAGGCCUUCGGGUUGUAAAGUACUUUCAGCGGGGAGGCGUUACCCGCAGAAGAAGCCCCGGCUAACUCCGUGCUAGCAGCCGCGGUAAUAC
rnacentral:rRNA from 1 species